UCUUCUCACGAAUCACGAGAACCAGCUGUCAUCCACCUAAUAACACUUCCCGUUCACGCCUCUCUUUGUCCUUCACGCCUUCUCACCUUUCAAUCUCCAGUUCAAAAGAAAACUUCACGCCUUCUCAGGUCUCUCUCCCCCUCCUCCUAACGCUCCCCGUUGUGGGAGACAGAAUAAGAUGGUCGCCGGCAUCUCGAGAGCUCAAAGACAAAGACACCGCAACGCUUACAGAUCAGAGGAUGGUCGCCGGCAUCUCCUCCAUUUCCGAUGCACUGAAGCAGCGCAUGAUGUUAUCUUUUUCACGGCUUCUCUGCGCAGGUGAAAGGAACAGCUAACCGAGUUUGGAGUUUUGCUGGUGGAGGUUAUUACUCAAAUCAAAACAAAAGAGGAGAUAUUGUAAUAGCUAUGGAUCCAACACACACUCACCGUCACCCACUCUCUCAUCUUUUUCUUCUUUUCUCUUUGUACUACGGCCUAAACGGAGCUGAACCGGAGGGGAAGCAAUAGAACCAACAGAUCUGAAAAUCUGUACAUAACAGUGGUGCGGCGUGGCGGAGGAAGGAUGAACAGCGGCGGCGGAGCGAGGAACAGCAGCAGCGGCGGUGUGGAAAUCUUUAGGGUUUUUGGCUUGUCUCUGACUCUCUGUGAUGUUCAAUUUCUUUUCUUUUUUUUUUUUUUUGAUUUUUUUUGUUUUGUUUUAGUGAAUGGAGAAAGGAUUUUUUAUUUUUUUUUGUUUUGUUUCACUGUGAUUCUUCAUUUCAGAUUGUAUGUAAAUUUUUGAUAAAUUAUGCAAUGUAUUAUUGAUAUUUUAGUGUUUUACUGAAAAUUAAUUUUGAGUUUGGCAA